AAAAAGACAAAUAAAAUAUAUCCUCUCUCUUUCACAUAAGUUCUAAACCCUAAAUCUGCCACAAAUAUCUCAGCUACUAUAACUUGACUGUUGUCGAUCAUCCAUUUGUCGUUGUUAACCGUGGUCGAGGAUCUACCACCAUCUUCUGAGAUCCACUUCAUCGUCAUCGUAUUCCGUCAUUUCUGCUCCGCCGCCGAUCUACAUGGUCUAGAUCUAUCCUGUUGUCCGAUAUGUUCUAUCUCAGAUCUAUAUCAUCUUCGAAAACCACUCAACGUCUCUAACCACCACUCAUUUUUGUUUGAUGACCUAUCACGACCACCAAAAUUGGGUUAUGGAACCCAAUUUAUCAUAUAUGCACCUUAUCAUAGAUUUGUAUUAAUUUCUUGUUGCUCGAAUCAUUUUUUGCAGCUCAGUUUCUCAUAUAUGCACUCAUCUCAAAUUCGACGCCUUAUUUGCAGAGAAAAAAAAACAUAGCGGUGGGUGGUGGAUGUUGAUAUGUUCUUGGCAAUGUUACUCGUCGGGUCUCGAUUUUUUUUCCAACGAGGGUCCAGCCUGAUUUUUUUUCCAAACACUAGUGUAAGUUUACUUUACCACAUGAUUAGUUUUCAGUCUUUUUUAAUUGUUUAACAAUCCUUUUUUUAUUUUAGGCUGGAGAGAGUGGUAUCAUACUUCCUUAUUUUGUCACAUUGUCACAUAGGCAACACAUCACCAAAGUGUGGUUUCUUGCCACACCCACGGAGUGGUGCCAUACUUUUUUUUAAACAAUUUAAUUUAAAUAAAAACUUUAAAUUUCAUUAAAAAAAAUAAAAUCCAUACAUUCCAUUACUUUAAAAUUUAUAAAAAAAAAAAAAAAAAAAAAAAAAAAAAAAAAAAAAAAAAAAAACUAAACUAAACUAAAUAUGAUAUGUAUAUAUAAGGUUAGUUUAAAAAAACCGAAAAAGGACUAUUGAAAAGGUCAAAAGAGCAAGGACCAAUCAAAUCGUGCGGCCAAAAGGUGCCACACUACGGCCUGAAACGCACCCAGAGGCGGUGUUCAUGUGUCACGAUGGCGAAACCGCAGUUCUGAACUGCACCACUUCCCCAAGCCUUAUUAGUUUUUCAAGUCAAGCACUUUAGUGGGUGUUUGGGAUAGAUUUUCAAAAAAACUUAUAGCUUUUUAGCUUUUCAAAAAGCUAAUAAGCUAAAAAAGUGUUUGCAUAUUUAAAAAAACGCUUUUUAAAACAGCUUUUUGGAUAGGAAAAAGUAAAGUUUUCAAAAAGCUAGAAAAUCGUAGCUUUUUAGCUUUUUAACCAUUUUACCCCUGAAAAAACAGUUUUUCUUAUCCAAACACUUUUUAAAAUUAGUUUUUCCUAAAACCCAUAAGCUAGUAAGCAUUUUUCUUAAAAAUCAUUUUUGAGAUAAAAAAGAUAACCUAAACAUACCCUUAUUCCUUGUGCAAAGAAGUAUGAUAUAUAAUACAAUUGUUUUGUGUCCACAUGGAUUUGAGUCAUACUUCAGCUAAUUGUCACUUGAUAUAAUUAAUUAAUUAGUAAUAUUUUUAUACUCCGUAGGUCUAACACCCUUACACGUAGUGUCAUCCCCAAGUUUUAGAUGAAGAUAAUAUGGAUAAUGACUUAAAAUGUAAUGAAGUUUCAAAAAUGUACAAAAAAGACCAUUAUCUUUUUUUAGUACACAAAAUACCAUUUUACCGGCUAUUGUAGGUUACCCGGUUUCCAAAUGUUCAAAAAAUAUCAUUGUUGUUUUUUAGUACAAAAAAUAUCAUUAAUGUUACUAUUUGUACACAGAAUACCAGCGAAAUACACAUGUAUUCAAAUAAAACAUUGUGGUAACCAGAUACUUCAGGUACAUGGAAAAAUGACUUAAAAGUGUAACGAAGUUUCAAAAAUAUUCAAAAAAAUACCACACUUUUUGUUAAUUGCGUUGUUGUCGGAUUAUGUAGAACAAAAUCACCGGAGAUCAUGAACCGUCAUAUCAGUUCACAACAAUUGUGCAAAUCUCUUUCAUUCCUUCACUCGAUUGUUCUUGUGGUAACAAAAGAAGUAAGUCUAUUCAAAUAAAUGAAAGUUUUUUUGUCACUUGUCACACUCUUAUUUAAUUUGCCAAAUGUCAUUUUGUGGUUAUUUGAAUUAAUUUUUUUUUAUGUCAUUUUAUAAGUUUUUAUAUUUUUUUAAAUUCAACAUAAUAUUUUAAUGUAAUAAUUGCAAUAAAUAUAGUAAUAAAUGGAUAUCAAUGUCAUUAAUGAACUUACCUUUUAAUUUCAAAAUUCUCAAAAUUAAAGUUUAUUAGUUUUUUUUGUUUAUUUAUUUAAAUUAUGUGUUUAAAUUUAAAAGAUAAAAAACAUUUUCAUUAUAAUAAUUCAUUAGUUUUCUUAUUUUCUUAUAAAUUUAAAGCUCUCAAGUAUUGAGAUAUUUAUAUUGAUUUUUUUUUUAAUUAACUCGUGUAAUACAUGGGUCUCACAACUAGUGUGUAAUAACCUUAGGUAAACAUUCUUGCUUCCCGG
rnacentral:lncRNA from 1 species